GUGGUACGGUGACUUAGGUAACAAAAGAGAAAGAAAGACUGAUUUAUAUAAAGCCUUUGAGUCAGUUAGGAUAUGAGGAAUGUGGUACGGUGAAUUAGACAGGUAACAAAAGAGAAAGAAAGACUGAUUUAUAUAAAGCCUUUGAGUCAGUUAGGAUAUGAGGAAUGUGGUACGGUGAGUUAGACAGGUAACAAAAGAGAAAGAAAGACUGAUUUAUAUAAAGCCUUUGAGUCAGUUAGGAUAUGAGGAAUGUGGUACGGUGACUUGGACAGGUAACAAAAAGAGAAAGAAAGACUGAUUUAUAUAAAGCCUUUGAGUCAGUUAGGAUAUGAGGAAUGUGGUAUGGUGAAUUAGAAAGGUAACAAAAGAGAAAGAAAGACUGAUUUAUAUAAAGCCUUUGAGUCAGUUAGGAUAUGAGGAAUGUGGUACGGUGAGUUAGGUAACAAAAGAGAAAGAAAGACUGAUUUAUAUAAAGCCUUUGAGUCAGUUAGGAUAUGAGGAAUGUGGUACGGUGAAUUAGACAGGUAACAAAAGAGAAAGAAAGACUGAUUUAUAUAAAGCCUUUGAGUCAGUUAGGAUAUGAGGAAUGUGGUACGG